rnacentral:rRNA from 1 species
UACGAAGGGGGCUAGCGUUGCUCGGAAUUACUGGGCGUAAAGCGCGCGUAGGCGGCUUUGUAAGUUAGAGGCGAAAGCCCGGGGCUCAACCCCGGAACUGCCUUUAAAACUGCAUCGCUUGAAUCCGGGAGAGGUGAGUGGAAUUCCUGGUGUAGCGGUGAAAUGCGUAGAUAUCAGGAGGAACACCGGUGGUGUAGACGGCUUACUGGACCACGACUGACACUGAGGCACGAAAGCGUGGGUAGCAAACAGG